rnacentral:rRNA from 1 species
AUUGCAGUCGAAGCGCACCUUCGAGGUGAGCGGCGGACGGGUUAGUAACGCGUGGGAACAUACCCUUUUCUACGGAAUAGCCUCGGGAAACUGAGAGUAAUACCGUAUAAGCCCUUCGGGGGAAAGAUUUAUCGGGAAAGGAUUGGCCCGCGUUAGAUUAGAUAGUUGGUGGGGUAAUGGCCUACCAAGUCUACGAUCUAUAGCUGGUUUUAGAGGAUGAUCAGCAACACUGGGACUGAGACACGGCCCAGACUCCUACGGGAGGCAGCAGUGGGGAAUCUUAGACAAUGGGCGCAAGCCUGAUCUAGCCAUGCCGCGUGUGUGAUGAAGGUCUUAGGAUCGUAAAGCACUUUCGCCAGGGAUGAUAAUGACAGUACCUGGUAAAGAAACCCC